AUAACACAUUCAAGUCGAGGGGCAUCAAUUUAGCACUACUCCAGUGGCGGACGGGUGAGUAACACGUGAGCAACCUCGGUCCUAGAGCGGAAUAACACUUGGAAAAGCGGAAAUACCGUAUGUUCCCUGGAAUCCGCAUUAUUUUACUGCCAAAGAUUAUUGCGUAGAGAUCGGCUUGCGUCCGAUUAGGUAGUUGGCGGGGUAACGGCCCACUGACCCGACGAUCAGUAGGGGGACUGAGAGGAAGGACGGCCACACUGGAACUGAGAACGGACCAGACUCCUACGGGAGGCAGCAGUCGGGAAUAUUGGUCAAUGGACGAGAGCCUGACCCAGCGAAGCCGCGUGAAGGAUGAAGGUCUUACGGGUUGUAAACCUUUGUCAACAGGGAAGAAAAAACUGACGGUACCUGGGGAGGAAGCCACGGCUAACUGCGUGCCAACAACCGCGCUAA
rnacentral:rRNA from 1 species